rnacentral:rRNA from 1 species
GAUGAACGCUGGCGGCGUGCCUAAUACAUGCAAGUCGAGCGAACGGACGAUAAGCUUGCUCCCUUGCUGUUAGCGACGGACGGGUGAGUAAGACAUACAUAACAUUCCUCUAAUACUGGGGGGAUUACGGGAAACAACAUCCACUACUGGCUAAUAUUUUGAACCGCAUGGUUCAAAAGUUAAUGACGCUCUGGCUGUCACUAUUAGAUGGUUCCGCGUUGGAUUAGCUAGUUGGUAAGGUAACGGCUUACCAAGGCAACGAUGCAUAGCCGACCUGAGAGGGUGAUCAGCCACACUGGAACUGAGACACGGUCCAGACUCCUACGGGAGGCAGCAGUAGGGAAUCUUGCACAAAGGGCGAAAGCCUGACGGAGCAACGCCGCGUGAGUGAUGAAGGUCUUCGGAUCGUAAAACUCUGUUAUUAGGGAAGAACAUAUGUGUAAGUAACUGUGCACAUCUUGACGGUACCUAAACAGAAAGCCACGGCUAACUACGUG